GUGGGGAAUCUUCCGCAAUGGACGAAAGUCUGACGGAGCAACGCCGCGUGAGUGAUGAAGGUCUUCGGAUUGUAAAGCUCUGUUAAUCGGGACGAAAGAGCCUAGUGUGAAUAAUGCUAGGAAGUGACGGUACCGGAAUAGAAAGCCACGGCUAACUACGUGCCAGCAGCCGCGGUAAUACGUAGGUGGCAAGCGUUGUCCGGAAUUAUUGGGCGUAAAGCGCGCGCAGGCGGAGCUGCCAGUCUGUCUUAAAAGUUCGGGGCUUAACCCCGUGAUGGGAUGGAAACUACAGAUCUAGAGUAUCGGAGAGGAAAGUGGAAUUCCUAGUGUAGCGGUGAAAUGCGUAGAUAUUAGGAAGAACACCAGUGGCGAAGGCGACUUUCUGGACGAAAACUGACGCUGAGGCGCGAAAGCCAGGGGAGCGAACGGGAUUAGAUACCCGAGUAGUCC
rnacentral:rRNA from 1 species